UGGGGACACCGAGCACAGCUCUGGGGGUAGCUGCCCGGUGCUGGGGACGUGCAGUGUGGGCACCGAUCCCCUCCAGCUCCGUGCAGGAUGCGCCCUGGGGUCGUGGGGGCACCGUGCCCGGCAGAGCCACCGGUUGCUGCCCCCUGCUCAUGGUGGGGAUGUUUUAGGGACAAGCUGGGGUCUGGCUCAGCUCGUCCCAUCUUGUCCCGGGGCUCAGCGUCUCCUUCCUCAGCAGGCAGAGCUGCAGCUGCAGGAGCUCUCGCGCUCCAUCUCCUCCUCCUCCUCGCUCAGCGACCUGGGCUGCACCAGCCCCAGCCUCUCGCUGCAGUCCCCGGUGCUGCCGGCGCUGAGCAGCUCCCUGUCGGAGAACGACCUCUCCAGCCCCGUGGAGCCGCCGGCACCCCAAACACGAGGGCAGCUGCCAGUGCUGCCGGGCUCCCCUGCAGGCUCGGUGCAGACCUGGCCCCUUCUCUCCACGGCUCCCUCCUGGCCGACGGCAGCGCCGCUCUUCCCCCAAACGCCCCCUCCGAGCACCCCGGGGGCUCCCCCCGUUCCCCCUGCCCUCCCUCCCGCCCUCCCCUCGUCCCCCAUCCCCAGCAGCCCCGUGAGCCCCCCUGUGACCAGCGGUCCCUGGUCCCCGACCACCCCGCUCCUGUCCCUGGCCAACGUCUUCUCCCUGGCGGUGAUGAGCGUGGCCCACACGCUGCUGCCCGCCGUCUCCUCCAUCGCCCCCUCGGGGGGCCACCUCUACCCCCCGCUGCUGCCUCGGCCCCAAAACCUCAUCCUGGGACCCCCUCGUUUCGUCUAUCCCGACCCCGCCAGCAUGGCCAAACCCCCCCCGGCUCACGGCGGGGCGCUGGGGGCCGCUGUCCCCGCUGUGGGGGGUGCCGUGCCCUUCUCUCCUCCAGCACCACCAGGGGGUGA
rnacentral:lncRNA from 1 species